GACGAGCGCUGGCGGCGUGCUUAACACAUGCAAGUCGAACGAUGAACCCGGAGCUUGCUCCGGCGGAUUAGUGGCGAACGGGUGAGUAACACGUGAGUAACCUGCCCUUGACUCUGGGAUAACUGCGGGAAACUGUAGCUAAUACCGGAUACGACCCUCGGCGGCAUCGCCAGGGGGUGGAAAGAAUUUCGGUCAAGGAUGGACCCGCGGCCUAUCAGCUAGUUGGUGAGGUAACGGCUCACCAAGGCGACGACGGGUAGCCGGCCUGAGAGGGUGACCGGCCACACUGGGACUGAGACACGGCCCAGACUCCUACGGGAGGCAGCAGUGGGGAAUAUUGCACAAUGGGCGCAAGCCUGAUGCAGCAACGCCGCGUGAGGGAUGACGGCCUUCGGGUUGUAAACCUCUUUUAGUAGGGAAGAAGCGAAAGUGACGGUACCUGCAGAAAAAGCACCGGCUAACUACGUGCCAGCCGCCGUAAUAC
rnacentral:rRNA from 1 species